CUCUCAGACACUUCGAGAAGCCCCUCCCUAUCUCGUCUCUACCACUACCCACAAACCCACAGCCCAGCCACCACCACCCACAACCACAGCCAUCACCACCACCACCCAACCCCCAACCACCAAAUCACAAACAAAAACAUGUAAACCCACAGUCACCGCUAGCCAACCCAACCCACAGCAAACCCACAGUCACCACUAGGCACCAUCACCCACCCACCUGCCACCACCGUAAACCCCAACCCAAAAUCAACCUACCACUAGCCACCACCAUCACAAAACACCCAUCAGAAAACAAAAACCUAGCCACCAAAUCACCAAAUCGCAAAUCACAAAACAACCACCAUCACAAACACCAAAUACGAUCCACCACCAAACUUUGACCCACAACCUAGACCCACCAUGACGAAGUGACCCACAGUGACUGCCGAAGCACUGUGACGCACCCAUGGGAAAUCGGUGAGAGAGAGAGAGGGACGAGCAAGAGAGGGCAAGGGCAUUGAUGGAGAUCGCCCUCGACUGCUUGAAGGCAUUGAUGGAGAUCGCCUAAAACUUUUUAAUGGUGAUUCCUUGUUGGCGGUUCAAGUUUGUGUUGAUCGUGUGAAUUUGCUUUCUUCAUAAAGAAACUCUUUGUAGGGCUUUGUGGAGUUUUGAGAUUCUCAUUGAAUAUCACAAAGUGGUGGAGAUCUUAAAGAUCAAGUGCAACUCUGUAAAGAACAAGAGGCAAUAUCACAGUGAUGCAAAAUUCUUUGGGGUUUUGGUUUGGCUUUAAGGGAUUGCUUUGCUUCUGCUACUGUGUGUUUGUCUGUGAGAGAAAAAGUUUGUUUAGCCUCAGACCAAUUUCUUCACAAUCCCAAAAAUACCUUCUCGUCUUGUUCAGGUAUCUCUCUCUCUCUCUCUCUCUCUCUCUCUAUCUACUUUUCUUUCAAUUUUUUAAGGUAUUAUAACAUUGAAUUUGUUUGUGCAUAUGUCUAUAUAACUAUUGAUAUAUGUUGUUUUCAUUUCCUCGGAUUGGUGAUUGUGGGCAUUUGGGGCUUGAGAAUGGAGUGAAACUAGGUUCCAUUGGCCAGAGACUAUAGCCAUUGAAGAUGCUGUCAGAGUUCUAUUGCAUGGUUUAGGGGAGGAUAUUAAUAGAGAGGGUCUGAAGAAGACCCCUUUUCGUGUUGCCAAGUCACUUCGUGAAGGAACCAAAGUUAGAGUCAGAUAAGAAUAAGGAGCGUCGUUCUAAACAGGAUGGCUUACAUAUUGCUGGUUCUUGUAGCUUUGCUGUGCACGCUGCAAAAAAGGCAAAAACGGAUGGACGUCUUGUAGAGCGUGCAGUAUUAUAUCCAAUACUACAUACUCGUAAAGAUGGAUCUACAGUUAAUCCUGUAGUGAA